rnacentral:rRNA from 1 species
UACGUAGGUGACCAGCGUUGUCCGGAUUUACUGGGCGUAAAGAGCGCGCAGGCGGUCGUUCAAGUCGAGUGUGAAAGCCCCCGGCUCAACUGGGGAGGGUCAUUCGAUACUGAUCGACUCGAAGGCAGGAGAGGGAAGCGGAAUUCCCGGUGUAGUGGUGAAAUGCGUAGAUAUCAGGAGGAACACCGAUGGCGAAGGCAGGUCUCUGGGCAUUAACUGACGCUGAGGAGCGAAAGCAUGGGGAGCGAACAGG